UACAGAGGUCCCAAGCGUUGUUCGGAUUCACUGGGCGUAAAGGGUGCGUAGGUGGUGAGGUAAGUCGGAUGUGAAAUCUCCGAGCUCAACUCGGAAAUGGCAUUGGAAACUACCUUGCUUGAGGGUUGGAGGGGGGACUGGAAUACUUGGUGUAGCAGUGAAAUGCGUAGAUAUCAAGUGGAACACCAGUGGCGAAGGCGAGUCCCUGGACAACUCCUGACACUGAGGCACGAAAGCUAGGGGGGCAAACAGG
rnacentral:rRNA from 1 species